ensembl:ncRNA lncRNA:CR45417 long non-coding RNA:CR45417
ACUUGCUCUCAGCAAUUCCAUUCGAAAGUUUUUCGUAGUCCGGAGGCGCAUUAGCAACACGCUUCCCGAUUUCGUGCCGCUCUGGGAGACCCGCGCAGAUGAUCGAUGGAGCUGCUGGUGGCUAUAGCAUAUAGCUGCUCGAUCGGCGAUCCAGCUGGCACAGCUGUCUGCAAUUGCUGGCUGGGAAUUGGAAACUGGGAACACCAGAACAGCAGAACAGCAGAACACACCAGCUGGUGAAGGGCAGCCGUAGUCGCAAUCCGGACUGCAAUUGUAUGCAAAUGAACGCGUGCCGUGUCGAGAGGCUGAAAUUGCAUAAUAAUUGCUCGGCGAAAUUAUCACCUUGAUUCGAAACAUGGGUUCUUUUGGAUUUUUAUGUUCAUUUUUGUUGUCGUACAAUAUGCCAUAGAAUUCUUUAUUGUAAUUUACUCUUGUUGCUGCUGUUGCCUAUACAUACAGAUUUAUGUAUAAUGUGCACUGGCUGCACUGCAUAUAAUAUAU